UGGUGCUGGCUUUCAAGUCUCCUCCAAAUGCAACUGACCCAGGUCUGCCUGUCCUCCAUUAGCUUUUGCUCGUUGGAGAGGGAUAACACACCGCUAAGAAAAAGACUUGUUCUGAGAGUGAGGACUGCCCCCGGAUUUUGUAACCAGUUGCAACCACCUGAAAGCAGCUCUGGGGAAGAGGUCAUUGAAGAGUCUUUCCACUGCCUCAAAUGGAAAAGAGCAGCAGGUUUGGUUGCUGGCAGGGGACAAAGGUGGACUCAGGCAGGAGGUGGAAAGCGAAGUAAAUGAACUCUGGGGUGGUGUCUCCCAACUCUCACUUCCAGCUCUCCUGUGUUUGUAGACUCUGUGUUCCUAAACAAGGGAAAAUACAGCCACAACCUCCAAAGGACAAGUGCUUAUUCAUUCCUUUAAUUUAUCUUUAUUGAGGAUGUUCCAUGUACAGUGGAAGAAAAAUUGAAAGUGAAUAAAGGAAGCUGAAGAUGUUUAAAGAU
rnacentral:lncRNA from 1 species